GGGCCCGUAGCUCAACUGGGAGAGUACCGCGCUGGCUGCGCGACGACGUGGGUUCGACUCCCACCGGGUCCA
rnacentral:tRNA from 1 species